CUCUGAUCCAGAAAUUAGCAAGCUGCCGUCCGUACUUAAUGCUAAGCAUGUAAUAGCCUUGCUUUGCUCAGAGAGAAACCCAAGAAUGUGCAAUCCAUAAUUAUUGUUGGGGUCUGCAACAGCAUUUAGUGCAGCUAUGUAUAUUUUCCCAUCUCUACCACCAGCAUAGAAGACAUCUUCUCCGGGGUCUAUUGCAAUUGCGUCAAUUAUUGAUGGAAACACAAUGCUUCUCAACAAUUUUCCUCUAGAAAGACUCCAAACCUUGCAAGUUCUAUCUUCUGAAGCAGAUACAAUAAUUGCAUUAGCUCCGCCGUACCCAAUCACAACAUCAGUCACCUUCAAAGAAUGCUCAGAGAAACUAAACUCAUAAGGUUGUCUUGCUUUACCUCUCAACAAGUCAUCAAAUACCAUUAUAAGAGACCAAACUCGAACAGAUCCAUCCUCUGAACCAGAAAUCAGAAGUGAUUGAUCAUCAUUGAAUAACAAGCAAGUAACCGCCCUAUAGUGAGCAUGCCACUUCUUAAGCAGUUUCCCAGUCGCAACCUGCCACAAGUAAAUUUCGCCGGAUGCACCUCCUCCGGCUAUAUAAGUUCCCUCACUAUUGGAAACAAGUGGAUUUAUAGGUUCGGCUGGGAAGCUUUUAACUUCCACUUGAGGCUUGUUCCAUGACCAGUACAGG
rnacentral:misc_RNA from 1 species